AUUGAACGCUGGCGGCAGGCUUAACACAUGCAAGUCGAACGAGUGGCGGACGGGUGAGUAAUGCUUGGGAAUCUGGCUUAUGUAGGGGGCUAACGACGGGAAACUGUCGCUAAUACCGCGUACCAUAGUAUGAGCCCACGUGGGAUUAGGUAGUUGGUGGGGUAAAGGCCUACCAAGCCGACGCUCGCUAGCUGGGCUGAGAGGAUGACCAGCCACACCGGGACUGAGAGACGGCCCUGACUCCUACGGGAGGCAGCAGUGGGGAAUAUUGCGCAAUGGAGGCAACCCUGACAAAGCCAGGCCGCGUGAAUGAAGAAGGCCUUCGGGUUGUAAAGUUCUGUGGGUAUUGAGGCGUGAAAUACAGAAGAAGCAACGGCUAACUCCGUGCCAGCAGCCGCGGUAAUUC
rnacentral:rRNA from 1 species